rnacentral:rRNA from 1 species
UAUUAGAGUAGUAUAGUCGUACCAGGUUUCCGUAGUUGACCUGCGGAGGAUCAAUA